UACGUAGGGUGCGAGCGUUGUUCGGAAUUAUUGGGCGUAAAGGGUUCGUAGGAGGUUCAUUAAGAUUGGUGUGAAAUCCCAAGGCUCAACCUUGGAACUGCAUUGAUUACUGAUGAACUAGAGUAUCGUAGAGGAGAGCGGAAUUCCAGGUGUAGCGGUGGAAUGCGUAGAUAUCUGGAAGAACACCGACAGCGAAGGCAGCUCUCUGGGCGAAAACUGACUCUGAGGAACGAAAGCGUGGGUAGCAAACAGG
rnacentral:rRNA from 1 species